UGAGGAAUAUUGGUCAAUGGACGAGAGUCUGAACCAGCCAAGUAGCGUGAAGGAUGACUGCCCUAUGGGUUGUAAACUUCUUUUAUACGGGAAUAAAGUUUGCCACGUGUGGCUUUUUGCAUGUACCGUAUGAAUAAGGAUCGGCUAACUCCGUGCCAGCAGCCGCGGUAAUACGGAGGAUCCGAGCGUUAUCCGGAUUUAUUGGGUUUAAAGGGAGCGUAGGCGGGGUAUUAAGUCAGUUGUGAAAGUUUGCGGCUCAACCGUAAAAUUGCAGUUGAUACUGGUAUCCUUGAGUGCAGCAUAGGUGGGCGGAAUUCGUGGUGUAGCGGUGAAAUGCUUAGAUAUCACGAAGAACUCCGAUUGCGAAGGCAGCUCACUGGAGUGUAACUGACGCUGAUGCUCGAAAGUGUGGGUAUCAAACA
rnacentral:rRNA from 1 species